GAUGAACGCUGGCGGCGUGCCUAAUACAUGCAAGUCGAACGCAUUGAGAAAAGUGCUUGCACUUUUCAAUUUGAGUGGCGAACGGGUGAGUAACACGUGGGCAACCUACCUGAUAGCGGGGGAUAACGAGUGGAAACAUUCGCUAAUACCGCAUAACAAUAGAGAAGGCAUCUUCUUUAUUUAAAAGGCGCUUUCAAGCGUCACUAUCAGAUGGGCCCGCGGUGCAUUAGUUAGUUGGUGGGGUGAAGGCCUACCAAGAUGAUGAUGCAUAGCCGAGUUUAGAGACUGAUCGGCCACAUUGGGCCUGAGACACGGCCCAAACUCCUACGGGAGGCUGCAGUAGGGAAUCUUCCACAAUGGACGAAAGUCUGAUGGAGCAACGCCGCGUGUGUGAUGAAGGCUUUCGGGUCGUAAAGCACUGUUGUAUGGGAAGAAAUGCUAGGCUAGGAAAUGAGCUUAGUUUGACGGUACCAUACCAGAAAGGGACGGCUAAAUACGUGCCAGCCGCCGCCGUAA
rnacentral:rRNA from 1 species